GAUGUUCUCAAAAUGUAAAUAAAAACCCGAAAACAAACUUAAAUUGAAAUAUUAUAUUUUACAAGAUUUAUUAACAAACGUGUAUUAUAUUUACGUUUAACUAAGCUCUUAAAUAGAAUUUAUAUUUUGAACACUCUUAUCCAAAUUACUCAUUGGAAUGAUUGUCGUUUUGACUAACCUCUUACACGGAGAUUAUUGAUCUGUAUUUAUACGUUAAAUCGGUUAAAAUAAUUCAAACAAAAUUAUUCAUUUAUAGAAUAAAUUAAUUGGAAAAUUUGUUUUCCCGCAUAACGAGUGACAUAAUACUUUAAAUCCUGAUUAAUAUUCGAAAGUAGUGUUGGUUUCACUAAUUCUCAAUGUAACAAGCGCACAUGUGAACAAUAUAGCGAAGAGUUAAAAAGUUGCAGUGGUGAUAAAUUAUGGAUGCUUGCAAAGACUUAAAAUCGAAAUAUGACAACUGUUUUAAUCUUUGGUUUUCUGAUAAAUUUUUACGUGGUAUUUACGAUGAUAGCGAGUGUGCAGCAUUGCUUAAAGUUUAUACCGAAUGUAUUGCUCAAGCUAUGAAGGAUCAAAAUAUAAACCUGGACGACGUUGAUGUAACGCCCUUGAAAAGAGAGAAAGAAACACCAAAAGAAAGUUGAUAAUUACAGUUCCAAUUAAAUUUUCUUUCCAUAUUCUUUGUUAGAAAGGGUUUUCUUCAGAUGGAUCACCACAUCUGAAAUUAAAAAAUUUCAACAAAUAAAUAUUACAUCCCUGAGGGAUGCACUGAUAUAUCUACUUUAAUAAAGAGAGAUGCAAGUUGAAAAUGCAAUUUUGAAAGUGCUUCAAGGAUUGCUGUUACUACGGCAGGACCUCCAUGAACAUGGAAUUCUACAGAAUUCUCUCCAGUAAAAGAAUUAGGUUCUGAAAUUUAUCAUUACUUAGUAAAUAUCUUUUUAAAAUGUAAUUUUCUAAUAUAAUUAUAAUUAUUAUUUUCCAGUAAUUGUAACUUUAAUGAAUGUAAAAAUUAAUAAAAUAUAUAGGCAUUUUUUCA